rnacentral:misc_RNA from 1 species
ACGUCAUCCCCACCUUCCCCAAUCACAUUCUCAUGAGCAAACCCAUUUGUUGACUCCUCAAGCUCUCUGAGAGUAUACCAAUGUCCCCAACCCAAAUGCGAAACCUCAGGCACAACUAUGGCCAGCUGAUCACCAGACCGAGCCUCUCCACUGCCAUGCGACGACCCACCGCCGCCACCGCUACCGCCACCGCCUCGCUCCGGGUAUCUAAUCCGGUU